GGGGAUUUAGCUCAGUGGUAGAGCACUUGCCUAGUAAGCAUAAGGCCCUGGGUUCGGUCCCCAGCUCCG
rnacentral:tRNA from 1 species